UGGCUCUCGCAUCGAUGAAGAACGCAGCGAAAUGCGAUAAGUAAUGUGAAUUGCAGAAUUCAGUGAAUCAUCGAAUCUUUGAACGCACCUUGCGCUCCUCGGAAUUCCGAGGAGCAUGCCUGUUUGAGUGUCUUGAAGUCAUCAACCUCCCCGUUUUUGCGAACGGGGUCGGUUGGAUGUGGGGGCAUGCGACCGAGAGGUCGCUCCCCUCAAAUGCAUCGGUCGGGCCUGUGGGUUCCAACUCGAUUGGGCGUUGUACCAUCCUCGCUCCGCAAGAGUGGACCCGCUGUUAAGCGCCCCUCCUCGACUCGCCUAUGGAGUGGCGGUCAAGCACAUUUUGAAAUCUGACCUCAAAUCAGGUAGGACUACCCGCUGA
rnacentral:misc_RNA from 1 species